rnacentral:rRNA from 1 species
UGAGGAAUAUUGCGCAAUGGGGGAAACCCUGACGCAGCGACGCCGCGUGGGUGAUGAAGGCCUUCGGGUUGUAAAGCCCUGUUGGAGGGGAAGAAAGGGCGUGUAGCUAAUAUCUGCACGCAUUGACGGUACCCUCAGAGGAAGCACCGGCUCACUCCGUGCCAGCAGCCGCGGUAAUACGGAGGGUGCGAGUGUUAUUCGGAUUUACUGGGCGUAAAGAGCACGUAGGCGGAUAGGCAAGUCAGAUGUGAACGCCCGGAGCGUAACUCCGGAACUGCAUUUGAUACUGCUUGUCUUGAGUGUGGUAGAGGGGGGUGGAAUUCCCGGUGUAGAGGUGAAAUUCGUAGAUAUCGGGAGGAACACCAGAGGCGAAGGCGACCCCCUGGGCCAUAACUGACGCUGAGGGACGAAAGCGUGGGGAGCAAACA